AACGAACGCUGGCGGCAGGCCUAACACAUGCAAGUCGAGCGAGGACUUCGGUCCUAGCGGCGGACGGGUGAGUAACGCGUGGGAACGUGCCCUUUGCUUCGGAAUAGCCCUGGGAAACUGGGAGUAAUACCGGAUGAGCCCUUUGGGGGAAAGAUUUAUCGGCGAAGGAUCGGCCCGCGUUGGAUUCGGUAGUUGGUGGGGUAAUGGCCUACCAAGCCGACGAUCCAUAGCUGGUUUGAGAGGAUGAUCAGCCACACUGGGACUGAGACACGGCCCAGACUCCUACGGGAGGGAGCAGUGGGGAAUCUUAGACAAGGGGGGAAAACCUGAUCUAGCCAUGCCGCGUGAGCGAUGAAGGCCUUAGGGUUGUAAAGCUCUUUCAGCUGGGAAGAUAAUGACGGUACCAGCAGAAGAAGCCCCGGCUAACUACGUG
rnacentral:rRNA from 1 species